AUCCCAGUUCGGAUUGCAGGCUGCAACCCGCCUGUAUGAAGUUGGAAUCGCCAGUAAUCGCGGAUCAGCAUGCCGCGGUGAAUACGUUCCCGGGCCUUGUACACACCGCCCGUCACACCAUGAGAGUCGGGAACACCCGAAGUCCGUAGUCUAACCGCAAGGGGGGCGCGGCCGAAGGUGGGUCCGGUAAUUGGGGUGAAGUCGUAACAAGGUAGC
rnacentral:rRNA from 1 species